UGCCUCUAAGUUUCACCCAAAAUGUGCUAAGGCCAACAUUACAUAACUUGGGUGUACAGAUGACCUGCUGCUCUUUUCUAAAGGUGACUCUCUCUUUCCAACAGCUAUUCUCAUGCUUUCAAGAUUUCUCUCAUGCCUCUAGACUAAUUAUCAAUAUUGCUAGAGUGCUAUCUACUUUGGAGUAAAACCAGCUUAACAGGAUCAAAUUCUACAUGUUCUUGGUUUCCAAAGAGG
rnacentral:lncRNA from 1 species